rnacentral:lncRNA from 1 species
GUCCGUGAAAAUGUUUGCUUCAGUAUAUUUUAUGAAAAUAUUUAAAACUACCAAGAAAUCAUGCAUGCAAGGGUCGGGCAUACUUCAAGAAAUGUUUAUUUGUUUAUUAUGAGGGGAAAAAACUAUCAAGAUAUACCCUGCAUAUACUCAAGCAUACAUGGAAAUAAUUAUUUACUGUUCUGAAAAUAUUAAUAAAACAACGACAUGAACUAUUGUGUGAUUUUAAUUACUGUCAUCACAAUCUUUAUUGGAUUUAUCAACUUAUUUAUGGCUUAUGUCACACCUUUUGUUUGUU